rnacentral:tRNA from 1 species
GGGCGGUUAGCUCAGCGGUAGAGCACUACGUUGACAUCGUAGGGGUCACAGGUUCGAUCCCUGUACCGCCCACCA